rnacentral:rRNA from 1 species
GACGAACGCUGGCGGCGUGCUUAACACAUGCAAGUCGAACGGAAAGGCCCUGCUUUUGUGGGGUGCUCGAUUGGCGAACGGGUGAGUAACACGUGAGUAACCUGCCCUUGACUUUGGGAUAACUUCAGGAAACUGGGGCUAAUACCGGAUAGGAGCUCCUGCUGCAUGGUGGGGGUUGGAAAGUUUCGGCGGUUGGGGAUGGACUCGCGGCUUAUCAGCUUGUUGGUGGGGUAGUGGCUUACCAAGGCUUUGACGGGUAGCCGGCCUGAGAGGGUGACCGGCCACAUUGGGCCUGAGAUACGGCCCAGACUCCUACGGGAGGCAGCAGUGGGGAAUAUUGCACAGUGGGCGGAAGCCUGAUGCAGAAACGCCGCGUGCGGGAUGACGGCCUUCGGGUUGUAAACCGCUUUCGCCUGUGACGAAGCGUGAGUGACGGUAAUGGGUAAAGAAGCACCGGCUAACUACGUG